UGUUUACUUCUUCUUAAAGAUUGAAACCCAAUUAUAGUUUUAUACGGUGUCUAUUUAGUCCUUUGGUAUCCACCUCGUUAUAAUCCUCUUUGUAGUUAUUACAAUUGGCGACGAGAAAAGUACGAAAAAGUGCAAUUUCGAGACAGUUAUUCACUCAAGUUCAAUAAUUGGAAAAUAUUUCGCCCUACAUUCCCAGAGUUCAGCGUAAGUGAAUUUUCCCUGGGAAGAGCUAGGAGAUUUGCGCUGGAAAAUAGCGUCAUUUUUUACUCCUUCUGAGAGGCCAUUGCGAGAGUGAGUUCACCUUUCAUCGAUUUCAUCGAUCGCACACACACGACAGCCGAAGUAAUCUCACGUCUCCCGCGGUGCCGGUGGCGCGAAGUGGUGUGCGGCAUUCAGCAAUUGAGUAACCUACAGUGUUUACACCAGACAGUGACAGACCACUAUUUAUCACUACUACUACAAAGCGGCAGCCUGUGCAGUGCAGUAUAGUUGCUUGGAUUGUGCUGUGUAGAAAAGUGCAUCCAUUGUUCGUUCGGGCUGGACCGACUUGCCUCAAUAGAUCAGCUGUUUGCGACGACGACGACCAAGCUGAGCUGGUGCUUUUAUAUUGUGAGAGGUUGACUUUUGCCACGGGUGUUCUCUUGAACGUUAUUUUGGUUUGCCGCCGCAGAAUUCUUUGAAGGUGAAGUACUACAGUGUUCAAGAUAUCGCUCGGAGGAAGGUUGAUUGCGGCACACAAACGACAGAUUAAGAUUUCCGACGAUCAUAGCCGCAAAUCUGUUCCACGCUUCGUGUUAAGCGGAGAAAAUGAGCAUAUUAAUUCAAGAAAGCGAAGGAGAGAAGUCGAUACUGAAGAUGACGGAUGUACAUCCGAUCAAGAGCCUGAUUUUUAUGGAUUCCCGGCGGAAUCGUUUAUUUUUAGAGAAG